UACAGAGGGUGCGAGCGUUGUUCGGAAUUAUUGGGCGUAAAGGGCGCGUAGGCGGUGCGGUAAGUCACCUGUGAAAUCUCCUGGCUCAACUGGGAGCUUGCAGGCGAAACUGCCGUGCUGGAGUGUGGGAGAGGUGCGUGGAGUUCCUGGUGUAGCGGUGAAAUGCGUAGAUAUCAGGAGGAACACCAAUGGCGAAGGCGGCCCGCUGGGCAGUGGCUGACGCUGAGGCGCGACAGCGUGGGGAGCAAACAGG
rnacentral:rRNA from 1 species